GAAAGCACUGCAUACUUGAGUGGCAGAAAUUAAAGUUGCUAGCUAGUGAGCAAAAAUGAAUACUAAUUCUAGCUGCUCCUGAGUCCAGAGAGCGGCACACUCCAUCUCAGUGAAGUAGCUCUUUCUGAGAUUCCUCAUCCGUGGGGCUUUUCAGUUAAUCAAGAGAGUAUGUCCAGGCUAGUCUACUUAGGCAAGGUCGAGGCAAGAGGAAGCUAAAUGGCUCUGCCUGAAAAGAGAAGACAGGAAUUUUUAAAGUGGGCAAAACAAGAAUGAUAAUAGGCAUGUCUCAAGGUUGCUGUGUGGACCAGCUAAAGCCCUAUGUAAGAAAGCACUUCACAUACAGAAGAGGGGCCUACAAAUUUGAGAACUAGUCCAGCAUAUUCUGGUUGGGUUCACCUUCUCUCUGAUCAUCCACCAUUGGCCACCUUUGGGUGACAUCUCACGAGCUCUGAAGAAAUACUAACGAAAAAUGAAAAUUACCAUUCAAGAGAAUUACCAUUUCAAGAGUUGGUAUGUUUUAGGAACAAAACAUACUUAAUCAUGCAUCUGCGAUGGAUUUCCUAAUUUGGCCUCCCGAGUAGGACACCUUGAGAGGCAAAUAGUUCCACAAUUAUAUGGGAAGGAGAUGGGAAGGUGCCAGCCAAGAGAGUCUCUCAUGUGUAUGAAGUAAAGGAAUGAAGCAAGGUCUAGGGAAGCAUGCUUUUCUCUGUGUGUCAUGGUUACAGCAAUGAUAGAGCAUCUGUGGAUGAAGCGUUUCCUGAUCCUAUUUACUUCAUGUGAUUAUUUGAUUAUUUCAGUAACCACACACUCAGUCACCAUUCAUUCACAUGCUCCUAGAAGAAACAGGAGCCACACCAAAUUACAUUUUACACAUUUUAUUCCUGCAUUAAGGAUUGGAUUAUAAUGUAACCUUUCUGGACUCUUUUCAUUUUUAUGACAUUUAUAGCUUUUGUUACAUGCCCUUACAUAUGCCAUGUGGAUGGAGUGCGAGGAGAAGCAGAGAGCAGUCGAAUUGCUCAGCGUUCCUCUAAAAAGGACACCAUCAAAAGAGGUGAAGGACCAGGACUUGAAUAUGUUCAUUGAAGACUCUUGUCAAUCAAAGAGAUCGAGAUUGCUGAGAGGCUUAUUCUCAGGGACGUGGGUCACCCCCAAAUCCACAUCCUUUUGGUGAUUGCAGGCUGCAUUGCCCAAUCUUGAUGUGCCUCCAGCUCAAAAGGCUCAUGGUUUCCUCAACCCUGCUGUUUAUUUCUCUCCCUUGUUACAUACUUUGUGUCUCUAUUCUGUCAUACUUCUUUUCCUCCUCAGCACCGAUUUUUAAUAGACUGUUACUCCUUUCUAGGAUACAUUUGAGUGACCAAAUUCAGGUAUGAAACAUAUUUCUUCCAUUGCCAACUUCUGUUUUCUCAAAUCCUCCUUUCACAUUUACAACUUAGCUGAAAUUUUCUGUCUACAUUCUCUUUUCUUGCCUUUGAACACUUCUCCUCCUCUGCUCCCCUCCCCAAUAGAAUCCAGCCUUUGAAAUGCUGCCCUACAGUAAUUGUUAAGCUAAUUUUCUCCCAAUUUUCUUAUGGUUUACUAGAAAGCCUUUUUUGAGUGGUGACAAAAAUUCAUAAAGCACAUUAUGCUAAGAGACAUUUGCAUAACUUGGUAUCCAUCAAUAAUUCAAAUGUUGAUAUAAAGCUAAGCAUAGACUUACCACAUGACUUAACAUUUACGCUUCUAGGUAUUCAUCCAACGGAUUUGAAAAAUUAUGCUCACACAAAAGCCUGCACAUGAAUGUUCAUAGCAGUUCUAUUCAUAUUUACCAAAAGCUGUGAGGAAUCAAGAAGUCCUUCAAAAGGCGAAUGGAGAAACAAUUGUGGUACCUCCAUACCAUGGAAUACUAUUCAGCAAUAGAAGUACACUAUCAAGCCAUGUAAAGAUAUGAAUGAAUCGUAAAUGAGCAUUGCUAAGUGCAAGAAGUUAGUCUUAGAAAGCUACAUACCAUAUCAUUCCAUUUAUAUUACAUUCUGGAAUAGAAAAAAAAAAAACUGUAGAAGCCAAAUCAGUGAUAGGCAGAGUUUUGGGGAGGAAGACGGAUUCAUUAGGUAAAGCACAGGUGAUUUCUUUCAAGCCUAUAAACCAUUCUGUACAGGACUGUAGUGGUGGAUACAUGACAUUAUUAACUUGUCAAAUCCCAUAUAACUUUAUAGUGCAAAGAAUUUACUGUAAUGUAGGCACAAUUAAAAAAAAAAUCAACCAGAAGAUCAGGAAAUCCAGAAUGGGAUGCAGACUGUAACUAAAUAAUCUGAUCAUAUUAUAAAUGUAUGAAAUAACCUCACUUAAGAGGGUAGGGACAAAGAAAUGCUGAUUUAAUUAACUUCAGUCAUUGGGUACAGUGUACACGGCUCAGGUGACAGGUGCACCAACAUCUCAGAAAUAACCACUUAUCCAUGUAACAAAAAACAACCUGUUCCCCAAAAGCUAUCGAAAUUUUUAAAAAAUCAAAGAAAAAAGUUAUGUAUCUAAAAAAAUAACUUUGGAAUGACUUUAAGACUAAUGACAAACUAUUAAGCUAGGUAAUUAUUGUACUCUAGUUGAUAAAGUUAUUUCUUAACAGGUGUGUGACUUCACAAUUAUGAAAACUCUGUACAUGUCUACUAAAAUUAAACAAAUAAAUAAAUGGAUGGUGGAUGAUGGGAGCUAAGUUUUUUACUGUUGAAAUGGGGUUAACACAUGUUAAAUAAAAUAGGCAGAAAGCCAUUGGCCUGAGGCUGCCUCUGUACAUUGAGUUCCAAAUAACAAACUACAACCUAACUUAGGAGUAUACGUUUUGUAACAGAUACCCAGGUCUCAGCCAAUCACAAGAAGUCAAGCUUCGGCCAAUCACAGGCAGCCAACUGACCAGAGCACAUCCAAAUAAGGCAACUGCAACCAAUCAAGCUAUCUCUGUGCUUUACUUCUGUGUUCAGCCUAUAAAAGCUCAUUGCCAAAACUGCAGAGCAGUGCUCUCUGAAUUCUCUUCUGAAAACUCCCUGUUCCCCCAAAACUACUGAAAUUAAAAAAGAAAAGAAAAAAAUUAUUAUGUAUUGAUAUGUUUGGUUGUGUCCCCACCCAAAAUCUCAUCUUGAAUUGUAA
rnacentral:lncRNA from 10 species